GAACCUGACUGAUUAGGCUGACUGGCAGCAAGCCCCAGGAAUACAGCACCAUUGUUCCAUUUUGUUUGAUCCAUACACAAGUUGUUUCCACUUCCAGACCACUGAGAGAAAUGAUGAACACGACUGUACAAAUAUGUCCAAUCUCUCGCUUAAAAUUCAUUGUGGAGGGCCCUGAGGAGAUGGCUCAGUCAGUACGGCACUUGCCACAGAAGCACGAAGACCUGCAUUUGGAUCUCCAGAACCUAUGUAAAAUGCCAGACAGGGUCUACAUAGCCAGAUGAGCCUCAAACACCUGACUCUCUUCGUUCAGUGCUGGGAUUACAGGCAUGGGCCACCACACCCAACUUACCUUGUGCUUCUACAUUGCUCGAAUAACUAUA
rnacentral:sRNA from 1 species